rnacentral:rRNA from 2 species
UGGGGAAUAUUGCACAAUGGGGGAAACCCUGAUGCAGCGACGCCGCGUGAGCGAAGAAGGUUUUCGAAUCGUAAAGCUCUGUCCUAUGGGAAGAUAAUGACGGUACCAUAAGAAAAAGCCCCGGCUAACUACGUGCCAGCAGCCGCGGUAAUACGUAGGGGGCUAGCGUUGUCCGGAAUCACUGGGCGUAAAGGGUUCGCAGGCGGAAAUGCAAGUCAGGUGUAAAAGGCAGUAGCUUAACUACUGUAAGCAUUUGAAACUGCAUAUCUUGAGAAGAGUAGAGGUAAGUGGAAUUUUUAGUGUAGCGGUGAAAUGCGUAGAUAUUAAAAAGAAUACCGGUGGCGAAGGCGACUUACUGGGCUCAUUCUGACGCUGAGGAACGAAAGCGUGGGUAGCAAACAGG